UCUGGAGGAGUGACAAGGCUGAGCCUGGAGAUUCAGACUCAGUGUCAGUGCCCUCCUAAAGGAAAGGAUGGAGAGAGCAGCCCCAGCUCCAGAGCAGCCCAGGGCUCACUGUGCCAUCCCACACUG
ensembl:scaRNA